GGUCAGUGAUGAGUGCUGACAUGUAUUAUCUGUUUUGAAGUUGGUAUUUAGCUCCACUUAAGCUCUAGGAUUACUCUGAGAAUCA
rnacentral:snoRNA from 1 species